GGGACCCGACUUGACCGACCAACUUCCCGCCUAUUUGAUCAGAGAAAGUUUCGAGAAAACCGAAAAGGACAGGACCCGCUGGGUAAGUGACUCUCUUCUUCCCUUUUACUAAUUUUGGUUUGCUGGAAACACUAUCCGCUUCGUAUCCUUACCGUAGCCCAAUGGCGCAGUUCCGUUUGGCGCCGGAUGGUAACCGUACCACUCGGAAAGGUAACCUUCCAACCCGGUGGGUUUCCUAAUUGUUUACCGAGACGGACGCUCUUUCCCGACCACUUCGGUUAUUAAGCGGAAGAAGGAAGGAAAGAAAGAACUAGACGUUGGUUGGGUAUUUGAUUCGAGAAAAGAAUCGACCCGCUACCACAAUUAUCCAAAUUAUUAUCAAUACUUGAAGUCGGUGUUUUCCCCCAUCCUGGGCCAGAAUUUACAAAAACCGACCAACAAGAAACAAAUUGGUGUGGAAUAAAAACCAAAGGUUGUAUAUCCGGGUAGCCCCGACUCGAAAUUGGCUAUUCUGUCUUUGAAACUUUGCGCUGUUUCCAAGACAGAAUAGCCAGGCGGAAAUAGAAUUUCCAGUAGCACAGAAUUGGUGCCUAAAAAUAAGCGUUAAUUAAAUGUUACUCGGUAUUCUAUUAAUGUUUUUCGUCUUUUCCCUAAGAUUUCUUUAACUGUAUACUAAAAAUGACCGCGCCCUAAUAAAUGUACGAGUCUCAGAACUUCAUUUAUACCAAGUACGUCUGCUAUAAUGGUAAAUAAAAACGGCUACCAAAAUAACGAGGCCUAUCGAUUCGUUACCGACAAAAGGACACGGAAACCACCGCUUUAAGCGCGUAAGGCCAAAGCCAUCUUAAAUUGUUUCUGGUUUUAACUUCUUCCCGCUUCUCCACAUUAUAAUCCAUACAGCAUCUCCGCGGCGUAUAUGUUUAUGGUACAUAUAUCGGGAUAAAUAUUGGGAUGAUAACGAAAACUUUUCCAUUCCCUUUCCGUUAACUUAAUCCUCCGUCUGGAACAGAUUCUAGUCCAGAGUGUGGCUAGAUGGUUGGCGGUUACUCUGGUAAGCUUAAGGGAGCGGUCCGGCUCCAUUCCGGUCGGUAAGAUCCGGGUGACGGCCCGCCGACCACCUAUGGGGCCCAUUUCGCUCACCACCAGCCGUCCGACGGGCGUUUAUUUUUUAAGAUCGAGUAAUACGAAUAUGGAAUUUACCGAGAAGAAGGCGAUGGAUGAAAACCUUCUGUAUCAGUGGCUGCCAAGAAAAUACCGGGACGAGUCGGCGGGAUGGGCCCCUGGAAACGCUUCGGCUUUCCACUCCGGAGGACCCGGGUCUCGCCCCUGGAAAAUAUUUAGC
rnacentral:lncRNA from 1 species